rnacentral:lncRNA from 1 species
UGCUACUCUGUUAUAAUACUCAUCGAAGUACUGUGCGUGUCAGCAUACCGAUCCAGGGAUGACACAGAUGCAUAGAGACUGGACUGAUUGAGGUCUGGUCGCUACAGAGAUGGUAUCAGAGCACACGUUGACUGUAGGACACGACCACUAAGCUAAAACCAUAGGUCACUCCUCUCUUCUCAUUUUCUAACUCCUCUCCCCUUUCAAAUCUAUAGGAUGGUGGAUAAAAGGAGCAAGUUUACUCAA